GAGGGUAUACCUCAGUGGUAGAGUGCGUGCUUAGCAUGCAUGAGGUCCUGGGUUCAAUCCUCAGUACCUCCA
rnacentral:tRNA from 1 species